rnacentral:rRNA from 1 species
UACGAAGGGUGCAAACGUUGCUCGGAAUUAUUGGGCGUAAAGCGCACGUAGGCGGCUUGGCAAGUCGGAUGUGAAAUCCCUCGGCUCAACCAAGGAAGUGCAUCCGAAACUGCCGAGCUUGAGUACUUAAGAGGAUCGCGGAAUUCCCGGUGUAGAGGUGAAAUUCGUAGAUAUCGGGAGGAACACCAGUGGCGAAGGCGGCGAUCUGGGGAAGAUACUGACGCUGAGGUGCGAAAGCGUGGGGAGCAAACAGG